UUCCAUUCCCACUCGGGUUCUCCUACCCCAAACCCAAAAUCCCCAAUGUCAAAAAUCCCUAAUCCCUUCCCCCUUUUCCAUUCCCGCUGGUUUUUCCCCCCUCAACCAAAAAUCCCCAAAAAAAACCCUAAUAUGCACACAGCUCUCUCAUUCCUCUCAUUUCAUCUCAUCUCAUCAGUCUCUUUCUCACACUCAUUUUCAUCUGCACAGAUCGACUCCACACCGAUCAAACUCGCAAGAUCGACUCCUCACCGAUCGACCUCACUCUCUCAUUGCACCGAUCGAUCUCAUAGGUAAGCUUCUCUCUCUCUCUCUCUCAUCUCAUCAGUCUCUCUCUCACUUCAUCUCAAGAUACAUCGAAGAAGAAGAAGCUAGCACAGCAAUGGUACAGAAGAAGGGAGCAAGUAGGGUUUCUGAAGAUGCAGAAGAAGAGUUGGCUCGAGCACCCUUACAGGCCGUCCUCUUGGCCGAUAGCUUCGCCCAGAAGUUCCGCCCCAUCACCCUCGAACGCCCCCAAAGUACCAUUUGCAUUUGUGGACACCCCUAUGGUUGAUUAGAUUGACAUGUGGUACUAUUACCAUUGGUCAACAUCCCUAUGAUUGAUUACACCUUAGCAUGGCUUGAAUCAGCUGGUGUUGAAGAAGUUUUUGUCUUUUGCUGUGCUCAUUCCAGGCAAGUGAUUGAUUAUUUAAAUAAUUCCAAGUGGUUCGGUCAACCAAACUUUACGAUCAAGACAAUAGAAUCUCACAAUUCUGUUAGUGCUGGAGAUGCAUUGCGUUUGAUUUAUGAGCAGAAUGUGGUAUGUCAAGAUCUCUCCUCGUAGUUAUUCAUUUUCAUUUUUUAGUUCUUUUGGGGCAUUCCAUCAGUAGUUUUGGUUUAAAAAUUCUAUCAGAAAAGUGAACAUAGUUUCUUGUUUCUUUUUUAGGGGUUUUAAUGUUCUAGAUGUGACAUUACAAAUGUUACUUAUCAAAGGGGGGGGGGGGGAACCCUUUUUCCAAUUGAGACAGAGAAUUUGGUCUCUCUUCUCAAAAAUCAAAAUAAAAUUAAAAAAACCCUUUGUCCAAAUGUUACUUCUCAAAAGGAAUUUUUGAAGGCAAUCUUCUUGGAGUUUUACGGUGUGUUUGGUUUGGUUUUGGUAGAUAAAUUUUUAAAAAAGAUUUUGGGGAGAGUUUAGAAUUUUUUUUGAUUUGUUUGGUUGUAUAUUUUGGAAAUAGUUUUGGAGUAUGGGAGUUUGGGAUGAUUUGAUGUUUUGUUCUCAAAAGCAAACUAAACAAGGCCUUAAUGUUUGGAUUUUCUUUUUUCUCUUUUCUUUUUUUUAAAAAAUUGAAUAAUGAUUGCCAAGAGAAAAGGAAGUGAAAUAAUGAUCCUAUGUCGGAUAAUUGUAAUUGCCUGAGAGAUGGUAGAAAUAACUUUGCGGGAAUGCAUAUGUGUGGGAUGGCGUAAUUCUGAUGAAACAUCACUUGUUGGAAUUCGAAAAAUUCUCCUUCAGGUUUAUGACUUUGCACCCCCUUAAAUUGAGAAUAUGCUGGGACCUCGACAUUGUUAAUGGCUGAUGAAUGAGAUUGACAAAGAAGGUAAUGUCACCGUUUUGAUAUUUUAAUACAUUUGUGCCUUCAGUGAGGCCUUUUAUUUUGCUAGAUGUUGGGGGUCACAUGGUUGUAUACUUCCUUAGUCAAAGGAGUUUUCUUAUAUAGAGGAUGAUUUUGGAUGAAUUUUUUCUUUCGAUGCACUCUUUUUUUUCUUCCCGUGUUUUUCUUAUGGUCAAUUUGUAUAGCCUUCAUGAAGUAGAAAAACUAUAAAUAUUUAGGUGUUGUCUUUUUUGUUGGAUUUUCUUAUUGAAGUCUUUGCCUAGAGUCCUAUAUAUUUGUUUCUUCAAAAUGAAUCUGUAGUUUUGUGAUGAUUUUGGAUGUGAUACACUGAUUAAGGCAGCUUUCUUACAUAAGAGUGUUUGUCUCUUGUAAACAUCCUCUUCUUCUUCAUUUUUGUUUAUUUAUUUAACAUGUUAUUUAACAUGUUUAUUCUUGUAGACAUCCUCUUCUUCUUAACAUGCAUAAGACAGCUUUAUUCUUGAAAAUAUGUUGACAGAUCAAAAAAAAAAAAAUCUGACCAGCUACUGUAAUUCGUUUUCCAAUUUAAUAUGAGGUGACCUGUCACUCAUAAUCAUCGAUUGUCUUCUCCCUUCAAUUUUUUGAUGCCAAGUAAUUUGAUUAAUUUAAAAAAGGCCUAAUCAUUAUGAACUUUUUGUUUUCUGAACAAGAUAAUAUGCAUGUGUGAACCAAAAGAUCUUUACUUGAUUUUUAGAAUACGAGUGUUGAAACUGUUGGCAAGUUACACCAGUUUUUUCAAUUUCUGGUUGAUGUGAUUUUCUCUGUGAGUAUGCAGCCGAAGGACUGGUUUUUCGUAAUAGUGUUUACUGGAUACGUUUUGAUGAAGAAUUUUCUGAGAAGAAAUUUAAAUCUUCAAGCCCCUUUGGUAUAAAGUACAAGUUCCACCUUGAGACUUGAUGUUGGUUUUUCCGGGAAAAGCACUGCUGUUGUUUCUACUGGCUGUUCAUCUAAAAGGUUUUUGUCUUCCUUCUUUAGAGGAUGGGUCAUGGGCGUUAUAUCUCAGUUAGAGGAUGGCCAUUUCUACUUGGAAGACGUCACUGGAGCAGUUGAAAUCAAUUUGUCUAAUGCAAUAUCCUCUACAUGUUUAUAUUUUUCCCUUUCGAAAGACUUAUUGUUUGUUUUGAAUGCUUGGAUUUGGGCUGCCCUAUAAUCUCCAAAAGCGAAAGUUCUCAUUGUAGGCCUUUUUAAAUAAUGGAAAAUAAUGGUGAAUUUUAGAUUUUA